rnacentral:rRNA from 1 species
ACGAAGCUGGAUUCGCUAGUAAUCGCGCAUCAGCCACGGCGCGGUGAAUACGUUCCCGGGCCUUGUACACACCGCCCGUCAAGCCAUGGGAGCCGGGGGUACCUGAAGUGCGUAACCGCGAGGAGCGCCCUAGGGUAAAACUGGUGACUGGGGCUAAGUCGUAACAAGGUAAC